GCCUCUAUUGUCCAGUGGUUAAGACGUGUCGCUCGUAACGACGAAACCCUGGUUCGAUUCCGGGUGGAGGCU
rnacentral:tRNA from 1 species